GACGAACGCUGGCGGCGUGCUUAACACAUGCAAGUCGAACGGAAAGGCCCUGCUUUUGUGGGGUGCUCGAGUGGCGAACGGGUGAGUAACACGUGAGUAACCUGCCCUUGACUUUGGGAUAACUUCAGGAAACUGGGGCUAAUACCGGAUAGGAGCUCCUGCUGCACGGUGGGGGUUGGAAAGUUUCGGCGGUUGGGGAUGGACUCGCGGCGUAUCAGCUUGUUGGUGGGGUAGGGGCUUACCAAGGCGUCGACGGGUAGCCGGACUGAGAGGGUGAGGGGCCACACGGGAACUGAGACACGGGCCAGAGUCCUAAGGGAGGUAGCAGGCGGGAAUCUGUCGCAAUGGGCGAAAGCCUGGUGGGGCAACGCCGCGUGGGUGAUGAAGGCCUUUUGAUCGUAAAACGCGGGUAUUAGGGAAGAAAAAAAGAGGAAGUAACUAUGCAAGUCUGGACGGGACCUAAUGAGAAAGCAACGGCUAACUACGGG
rnacentral:rRNA from 1 species